rnacentral:rRNA from 1 species
ACAUGCAAGUCGAACGCUUUUUCUUUCACCGGAGCUUGCUCCACCGAAAGAAAAGGAGUGGCGAACGGGUGAGUAACACGUGGGUAACCUGCCCAUCAGAAGGGGAUAACACUUGGAAACAGGUGCUAAUACCGUAUAACAAUCGAAACCGCAUGGUUUCGGUUUGAAAGGCGCUUUUGCGUCACUGAUGGAUGGACCCGCGGUGCAUUAGCUAGUUGGUGAGGUAACGGCUCACCAAGGCAACGAUGCAUAGCCGACCUGAGAGGGUGAUCGGCCACAUUGGGACUGAGACACGGCCCAAACUCCUACGGGAGGCAGCAGUAGGGAAUCUUCGGCAAUGGACGGAAGUCUGACCGAGCAACGCCGCGUGAGUGAAGAAGGUUUUCGGAUCGUAAAACUCUGUUGUUAGAGAAGAACAAGGAUGAGAGUAGAAUGUUCAUCCCUUGACGGUAUCUAACCAGAAAGCCACGGCUAACUACGUGCCAGCAGCCGCGGUAAUACGUAGGUGGCAAGCGUUGUCCGGAUUUAUUGGGCGUAAAGCGAGCGCAGGCGGUUUCUUAAGUCUGAUGUGAAAGCCCCCGGCUCAACCGGGGAGGGUCAUUGGAAACUGGGAAACUUGAGUGCAGAAGAGGAGAGUGGAAUUCAUGUGUAGCGGUGAAAUGCGUAGAUAUAUGGAGGAACACCAGUGGCGAAGGCGGCUCUCUGGUCUGUAACUGA